rnacentral:rRNA from 1 species
AGUGAACGCUGGCGGUAGGCCUAACACAUGCAAGUCGAACGGCAGCACAGGGGAGCUUGCUCCUUGGGUGGCGAGUGGCGGACGGGUGAGGAAUACAUCGGAAUCUACUCUGUCGUGGGGGAUAACGUAGGGAAACUUACGCUAAUACCGCAUACGACCUACGGGUGAAAGCAGGGGAUCUUCGGACCUUGCGCGAUUGAAUGAGCCGAUGUCGGAUUAGCUAGUUGGCGGGGUAAAGGCUCACCAAGGCGACGAUCCGUAGCUGGUCUGAGAGGAUGGUCAGCCGCACUAGAACUGAGACACGGUCCAGACUCCUACGGGAGGCAGCAGUGUGGAAUAUUGGACAAUGGGCGCAAGCCUGACCCAGCCAUCCCGCGUGGGUGAAGAAGGCCUUCGGGUUGUAAAGCCCUUUUGUUGGGAAAGAAAUCCAUCUGGUUAAUACCCGGGUGGGAUGACGGUACCCAAAGAAUAAGCACCGGCUAACUUCGUGCCAGCAGCCGCCGUAA